GGUGCUCGGGCUCUCCUCUGGUUCUUCUUUGGCUUUCUUUUCUGAUACUUGGAUGUGUGUGUGUGUGCACAUUUACGGUUAGGCCUUGAGAAAGAAAUCAGUAGCUGGAAAGAUGCGCGCAGAGAGAAUGAGAAAGAGAAAGAGAGAGAAGCGGAGAGAGCGGGCAGCGGGGCGCGGCGUGACCGGGAGAAACGCACCGGAGAGCGGCUACAGCUCACAGGAUUCCCCGCUGAACCCAGGGCGGACGCUUAACCGAGUCGGAGCUCCCUGCUGACGGACUUCGAGACUCAUUGCAACGCUUAAAAGUUUUUUCGAAGAAUAGAAAAUAUUGAAGACGCGUGAGACCAGGUCCCGCUGGAGCCUCGAUAAGACCCGGAUGCAGAAACGGCGCUGCAGCUGAUUUACCUGCAACAGGUGGUUCCUCACAUCAAGAGUUUAAACUUUGUCCUGAGCUUCCUGCAUUCUGGCAAAUAAGCAAUAAUCUUCUUCACUAAAAAGAUGACGUGAUCAAGUGGAUUCUAAGUUCACCUGUCAAUCAAUGAAAACUGCACUUGAGUGUGGUGAAUAUGCUAGUUUCUGUAGCUUGGUGCAGCUACUAUUGUUAAUUCCUGUAUAUUAUGUUGUGAAUGUUUAUGGUUAUUAAAUGGGGCAGGGCUUUAAAAGGGGUGUGGUCAAUUAACAUGAACUGUAUAUGAACUUCUUUGCUUGUAUAACCAACAUUUGCGUCUAACGUGUUCAUACUGCUAUUAAAGCAGGGUAUUAGCGGUGUGUGUAGGUGUGUUUACCUGAAGCUUAGCUCACCUUUUGGCCAUUAACACACACCUAACAAUCGCGCCACACUGACUGCAGGGUGAAGGUGAAAGUAACUGAGCUGUUAAGUAAAUAAAACUUUAAAGCUGCAUGAACUCACAGCUCCUUUUUGCUGUAAUGAGUAAUGAAAAAACAUAAAGUACGUUUUCGAUUAUGAUUUUUCCCCCAUAAAAUUGACAUUUAAAUCACACUUUCAAGAAAAAAAAUUAAUAACAUUAAAACAUUCUUCAUUUUCCACAACAAGUAUAAAAACAGUGACAAAAAUUAUUUCCUUUCCUUAUGUUUUACUCCUCUUAUACCACAGCAACUUGCAACUGCACAUUUAUUUAUUAAAACAUUUCAUUUAUAGUUACAUUUAAUAUUGUGGAAGGUCAUACUAUAAACAGUUGUUCUGUUACCAGCCACUCCUUCUUUCUCUCUUAAAGUUAAUAAGCCAAAAACACUUUGUCAUUCUUACCCAGAAACUGAAAAGUACACACUCCUCUGGACAGAGGAUGUUGGAAAACUUCCAGUAAAGUUCCACAUUUACCUCUGGCUGUUAUAAAUUGCUGACACUUGAGACUUCUUGUCUCAAUGUUUAAUAAACAAAGAAAAACUUUUAGAAACUGUCAGAACUGCUAUAGGAAUAUAAAUAAUAGACAUUCAACAAUAAUCAGAUUCACAAAUUUAACAGCACAAUGGGUUUAAUAGAAAAAAUAUUUUACUAUAUCUGUUAUUUGUGAUAUUGGCGGCUGUAACAUGAUAUAUUUUAGAAUGUAUAACCUGUUACACAUGGAUAUUUCUGCAUUCAAAAAAAUGUAAAUCUGUUAAUUAGAGUGUUAUAUACAUUUUAUUUACAUUUAUUUCCAGCACAGAUUAAUGAUUAAAAACAAAAAAAGUAAGCAUAAAUUAAAGUAUUUUAUUUCACUUCUGCAGCAGUUUCUACUGCUAGUCGUUUGGAUUGAUGUGUGUAUGGACAGGCCUGUUUAGCGCAUAUGUAUGCGUGUGUGAUGAUUAAUGAGGUAUUUUUGGCAAGUUGGCAAAGCCGGCCAAUGCCACGGCAGUUUUGUUUGAAAAGUGCUGGUGCUGGAGAAAGAGGGAUUUGAGUGCCUGAGCACAGCAUGAUGUCAGCAUGCACCACAACAAAAGCCAAAUGUGUGCUGUUCGCAGCAUUACGGGGCCCGAGCUAGGCUGAGCACAGCCAUCUUUUCACUGAGACAAACAUGCUGUAGUGUGUCACAUACACACAUACACACAUGCUUACACACCAAUACACAGAGUCAGGGUUUUGCAUCCCAACUAACUCAACUCUCUCUCUCUCUCUCUCU